rnacentral:sRNA from 1 species
GCCAGGCGUGGUGGCACCCGCCUGUAAUCCCAGCAACUCGGGAGGCUGAGGCAGGAUGAUCUUGAGUUCAAAGCCAGUCUCAGUAGAUUAGCACUUAGCAACUCAGAACCUGUCUCUA